rnacentral:rRNA from 1 species
AUUGAACGCUAGCGGGAUGCUUUACACAUGCAAGUCGAACGAGUGGCGGACGGGUGAGUAAUAUAUCGGAACGUGCCCAGUAGCUGGGGUUAACUCCUCGAAAGAGUGGCUAAUACCGCAUACUAUUGGAUCGGCCGAUAUCGGAUUGUCCAGUGGGUGGGGUAAAGGCUAACAAAGGCAACGAGCCGUAGAUGGUCUGAGAGGAUGAUCAGCCACACUGGGACUGAGACACGGCCCAGACUCCUACGGGAGGCAGCAGGGGGGAAUAUUGCACAAUGGGCGCAAGCCUGAUGCAGCAAUGCCGCGUGUAUGAAGAAGGCCCUAGGGUUGUAAAGUACUUUCAGUCGGGAGGCGUUACCUACACAGGAAGCACCGGCUAACUCCGUGCCAGCAGCCGCGGUAAUAC